rnacentral:rRNA from 1 species
AGUUUCGGUAGGCGUCGCUCCAACCCAAUGUGAACCAUACCAAACUGUUGCCUCGGCGGGGUCACGCCCCGGGUGCGUCGCAGCCCCGGAACCAGGCGCCCGCCGGAGGGACCAACCAAACUCUUUACUGUAGUCCCCUCGCGGACGUUAUUUCUUACAGCUCUGAGCAAAAAAUUCAAAAUGAAUCAAAACUUUCAACAACGGAUCUCUUGGUUCUGGCAUCGAUGAAGAACGCAGCGAAAUGCGAUAAGUAAUGUGAAUUGCAGAAUUCAGUGAAUCAUCGAAUCUUUGAACGCACAUUGCGCCCGCCAGUAUUCUGGCGGGCAUGCCUGUCCGAGCGUCAUUUCAACCCUCGAACCCCUCCGGGGGGUCGGCGUUGGGGAUCGGGAACCCCUCAGACGGGAUCCCGGCCCCGAAAUACAGUGGCGGUCUCGCCGCAGCCUCUCCUGCGCAGUAGUUUGCACAACUCGCACCGGGAGCGCGGCGCGUCCACGUCCGUAAAACACCCAACUUUCUGAAAUGUUGACCUCGGAUCAGGUAGGAAUACCCGCUGAACUUAAGCAUAUCAAUAAGGCGGAGGAA